GUCUACAGCCAUGCUACCCUGAACGUGCCUGAUCUCGUCUGAUCUUAGAAACUAAGCAGAGUCGGGCCUGGUUAGUACUUGGAUGGGAGACCACUUAGGAAUACCAGGUGUUGUAGGUG
rnacentral:rRNA from 1 species